rnacentral:rRNA from 1 species
UACGUAGGCAGCAAGCGUUGUUCGGAGUUACUGGGCGUAAAGGGCGCGUAGGCGGUCCUAUAAGUAUGGUGUGAAAUCUCCCGGCUUAACUGGGAGGGUGCGCUAUAGACUGUGGGACUAGAGUGUGGGAGAGGAAAGUGGAAUUCCUGGUGUAGCGGUGAAAUGCGUAGAUAUCAGGAGGAACACCGGUGGUGUAAACGGCUUUCUGGACCAUAACUGACGCUGAGGCACGAAAGCGUGGGUAGCAAACAGG